rnacentral:rRNA from 1 species
CCAUUCGUGACGGGGAUCGGGGAUUGCAAUUAUUCCCCAUGAACGAGGAAUUCCCAGUAAGUGCGGGUCAUAAGCUUGCGUUGAUUAAGUCCCUGCCCUUUGUACACACCGCCCGUCGCUACUACCGAUUGGAUGGUUUAGUGAGGCCCUCGGAUCGGCCCCGCCGGGGUCGGCCCACGGCCCUGGCGGAGCGCUGAGAAGACGGUCGAACUUGACUAUCUAGAGGAAGUAAAAGUCGUAACAAGGUAACC